UACGUAGGGCGCAAGCGUUGUCCGGAAUUAUUGGGCGUAAAGAGCGUGUAGGCGGCCCGAUUAGUCCGCUGUGAAAGUCCAGGGCUCAACCCUGGAAUGCCGGUGGAUACUGUCGGGCUAGAGUCCGGAAGGGGCGAGUGGAAUUCCAGGUGUAGCGGUGAAAUGCGUAGAUAUCUGGAGGAACACCGGUGGCGAAGGCGGCAUCCUGGACCAAUAUUGACGCUGAGGAGCGAAAGCCAGGGGAGCAAACGGG
rnacentral:rRNA from 1 species